GUUUUGUCUCUCCAGGUGUCCCUUAAAAUCUGUACAUUAUUUUACCAUAUUGUUUUCUCCACCUGUGGGAUAGGAUUUUCACAAAUGCCAUUGUUUGAACAGUCAUAGAAAUGUAAUUGUAUGCAUCUUGCUAAAGAAAUCCUAUGUCUCGUAACCAUUGUUAUUUGGAGAUAUAAUUAUAAUAAUUUGGUUUAGAAUUUGAGAUUCUGAAUGCUGUGUCAAUUGUUCAUGAUGGAAACUUAGUUCACAUUUGGAAAUUUUCUUAUCU